UUAGUUGAAGCCAAAAAGAGGCAAAUCACUGUUAAUGGUUGAAUUGAAAUGAUCCAACUGUU
rnacentral:tRNA from 1 species